GCGGAAGUGGUGGAAUGGCAGACACGCUAGUUUCAGGAGCUAGUGGGAGCAAUCCCGUGGGGGUUCAAGUCCCCCCUUCCGCACCA
rnacentral:tRNA from 1 species